rnacentral:rRNA from 1 species
UACGAAGGGUGCAAGCGUUACUCGGAAUUACUGGGCGUAAAGCGUGCGCAGGCGGUUUUGUAAGACAGGCGUGAAAUCCCCCGAGCUUAACUUGGGAAUGGCGCUUGUGACUGCAAGGCUAGAGUAUAUCAGGAGGGGGGUAGAAUUCCACGUGUAGCAGUGAAAUGCGUAGAGAUGUGGAGGAAUACCGAUGGCGAAGGCAGCCCCCCUGGGCCUGCACUGACGCUCAUGCACGAAAGCGUGGGGAGCAAACAGG